rnacentral:rRNA from 1 species
UACGUAGGUGGCAAGCGUUGUCCGGAUUUACUGGGCGUAAAGAGCGCGCAGGCGGCUGGUCAAGUCCGAUGUGAAAUCUCCCGGCUUAACUGGGAAACUGCAUCGGAAACUGAUCGGCUUGAAGGUGGGAGAGGGUAGUGGAAUUCCCGGUGUAGUGGUGAAAUGCGUAGAUAAUCGGGAGGAACACCAGUGGCGAAGGCGACUACCUGGCCCAUUCUUGACGCUGAGGCGCGAAAGCUAGGGGAGCGAACGGG